CGCCGUAAACGUUGGGAACUAGAUGUGGGGACCAUUCCACGGUCUCCGUGUCGCAGCUAACGCAUUAAGUUCCCCGCCUGGGGAGUACGGCCGCAAGGCUAAAACUCAAAGGAAUUGACGGGGGCCCGCACAAGCGGCGGAGCAUGCGGAUUAAUUCGAUGCAACGCGAAGAACCUUACCAAGGCUUGACAUAUACGAGAACGGGCUAGAAAUAGUCAACUCUUUGGACACUCGUAAACAGGUGGUGCAUGGUUGUCGUCAGCUCGUGUCGUGAGAUGUUGGGUUAAGUCCCGCAACGAGCGCAACCCUCGUUCUAUGUUGCCAGCACGUAAUGGUGGGAACUCAUAGGAGACUGCCGGGGUCAACUCGGAGGAAGGUGGGGAUGACGUCAAAUCAUCAUGCCCCUUAUGUCUUGGGCUUCACGCAUGCUACAAUGGCCGGUACAAAGGGCUGCAAUACCGUAAGGUGGAGCGAAUCCCAAAAAGCCGGUCUCAGUUCGGAUUGAGGUCUGCAACUCGACCUCAUGAAGUCGGAGUCGCUAGUAAUCGCAGAUCAGCAACGCUGCGGUGAAUACGUUCCCGGGCCUUGUACACACCGCC
rnacentral:rRNA from 1 species